UCACCCCCCCAAUUUUUUCUAUUUAGCUGGUGGCUUUAAAAGCCACCACCACCGCCUCACGCCACCAUUUUUGGCGGCACCGGUCCCAAAAGGACCGCCUCCUCUUCCUCUCUUCGUUCCACCACUCCCUCGCCAGGAUAUGCCAGCGUUGCUGCCGGAAAUUGCAGAUUUACGAUCGGAUUUUUGCCCUUUUUCCAUCGAUCGUUUCGGACGUUUCUGGCGACCAAAUUUUGGGAACUUGACAGUAGUUGAUUGAGCUGAGCAGGAGAGCCGAGCCCUAAGCUUUCAAACCUCGAGCUUCAGUUGUGAAAUUUGGAAUUUGUCCAUUUUUCAGGGGAGAAUACCGAAAUUUUGGCAGAAAGUCUUGUUCUUUAGUAUGUGGGCUUGGCAUCGGGAUGAUGUCGGAAAUAUCACUGGAAUCAUCCUGGAUUCCAAGGAAUCGAGGCAGGUCUUGUCAACCGCACCAUCGCACCAUCACUUAAUGGCCAAGAGAACAUGAAAAAAAGAAAUGGAAGCUUUGGAUUUAACAAUUUGAGGUUACAGCUACUUUUUUUGAACUAGUUCUUGGCAUUCUGAAUUAGUAAAUAGGGGAAGCUCAUACUAAAUUCAUACAUUGAUGAAAACGGAUGCUGAGAAGAUGUUGUGUAUUACUCAUCCUUUUCAAGAUAGAGGAGCUAGGAGCUAACAACAAGAGGGAUGAUAAAUUUGUCAAAGCAACUUUCCAGUUUCCUUUUGGCAUGUUCUUGACAAAUUGAAAAGAGCUGAAGUCAACACUGUCGUAGCCUACCGAAUUGUAUGUCUGGUGGGGGUGUGGGUGGUUAUGGAUGCGGUGGUUGGUUGUAGAGAGAGGAGAAAGGAGGAAGGAUGAUGCUAUUCUUUGGGACUAGGGAUUGAUCUUUGGGGAGAGUUAGAUUUGGGUAGGGUUAAAGCAUAGAGAAGAAAGAUUUUUAUUUAUUAAUUUUUCCAUUUUUUAAAUAUAAUUUUUUUAUUAAACAAGUAAUUAUAUA